UUUUUUGUUGAGAGAAAUUUAGUUUCACUUACUCACACUACAUCACCAUUGCAGCCGUUACUGAUUUUUUUUCGACUUCACGUCUUCCAUCCGUUUUAGUUCUUCAACCUCAUUUAAAGGUGUCGCGCGUUUUUCCCUUCACAGCUUCCAUUCGGGUUGCAGCGAAAUUUCGAGACUGAGGCAGAUGCGUUAAGUUGAAGACUUGAAGCUCCCUUGCUCUCUCCUUGAUUUUCUCACAGAAACGAUUUUCUUCAUAUGGAUUGGCUAAUUUCUCAUAGGUGAGACAAGUGUUUUGAAGAGGGUUCAUAUGUUAUCCGAGGUGAGAGAAGAAAGCUAUUACCAUUUUCCUUUUAUAAUGCAUGUCAAAGGAAGAUCACCGUAUUUUUCCUUUCUAAACUCUCUUCCUAUAUAUCUUUUCUAUCUAUUUCACUUUCUUGAAUUUGUUUCAGAACUUUUUUUGCUAACUAAACCUGCUCGGUUUUAUUGAAGAAGAUAGUCAAUGUCAAUUCCCAGGAUUUUCAUGGGGUUCUUGGAGUUUGAUGUGUUCUCCAUAACAUUUAUAAGAUCGAUAGAGGAAAUGGAUUUCUGCACUAAUGUUAUCGGUUCAUAUGGUUGUAUUUCUUGGUGCAAGAAAUAGAAAUUGGGGUUCUCCACUUGCAGUUGUUAUUUUCUUUUGUCCAUUCACCUUUUCUCCCCCUUCCCCUUCUUCCAGGUGUGAAACAACAUAGAUUGAUUUCUGAUUUCUUGUGCUUGGCUGAACAGAUAUGAAUGAUGUAAUAGAUGGAGAGUUGUUGGGUGGAUCAUAUCAUCCAUAUGCUUAGGGGCGUUUUCCUCACAUAUGCAGCUUCAUAUAGCUUUUCUCAAUCUGUCUGCACAUGCCCACAUUGUUUCGAAUCCUAUCCUUUCUUUUUCUUCAAUUGUUGGUUCCGAAUCUGUUUUUCCUUUUGUUCAAUCGAACAAGUUUUUAACUUUUUUCAAAGUAUUGUUUUAUUGUUUCUUA